CUAAGGUCCCCAAGAGCAGGCUAAGUGGGCAAGGAGGUAAGAUUGCCCAGACAGCCAGGAGGUUGGCUCAGAAGCAGCCAUCCUUUAAAGAGUGCGUAACAGCUCACUGGUUGAGUGGUCUUGCGCCGACAAUUUAACGGGGCUAAAGUCUGCCACCGAAGCUAUGGCUCUCUGAUUUUAUCAGGGAGGGUAGGGGAGCGUUCUCUUAGCCAUGAAGCUGCUAUGUGAAUAGUGGUGGAGUUAAGAGAAGUGAGAAUGCCGGCAUGAGUAGCGUAAGGUGUGUGAGAAACACACCCACCGAAUACCUAAGGUUUCCUACGGAAGGUUAAUCCGCGUAGGGUUAGUCGGGCCUAAGCCGAGGCCGAAAGGCGUAGGCGAUGGACAACGGGUUAUUAUUCCCGUACCGCUUCUGCGGAGGCAAAGGAGGGACACGGAAGGGUAGGCUAAGCGUGCCUAAUGGACAUGGUGCGUCCCCUACUAUAGGUGAUGCCGGGGCAGGUAAAUCCACCCCGGAUGUUAAGCUGAAGGUAGGGGGAAGUUUGAGGGGAAACUCAAGGCGACUUAGCUGAGCCCAGGCCGUCAAGAAAAUCUUCGUUGCCGGUGAAGCAG
rnacentral:rRNA from 1 species